AUGGCUCAGAUUGAACGCUAGCGGGAUGCCUUACACAUGCAAGUCGAACGGCAGCACGGACUUCGGUCUGGUGGCGAGUGGCGAACGGGUGAGUAAUGUAUCGGAACGUGCCUAGUAGCGGGGGAUAACUACGCGAAAGCGUAGCUAAUACCGCAUACGCCCUACGGGGGAAAGCAGGGGAUCGCAAGACCUUGCACUAUUAGAGCGGCCGAUAUCGGAUUAGCUAGUUGGUGGGGUAACGGCUCACCAAGGCGACGAUCCGUAGCUGGUUUGAGAGGACGACCAGCCACACUGGGACUGAGACACGGCCCAGACUCCUACGGGAGGCAGCAGUGGGGAAUUUUGGACAAUGGGGGAAACCCUGAUCCAGCCAUCCCGCGUGUGCGAUGAAGGCCUUCGGGUUGUAAAGCACUUUUGGCAGGAAAGAAACGUCAUGGGUUAAUACCCCGUGAAACUGACGGUACCUGCAGAAUAAGCACCGGCUAACUACGUGCCAGCAGCCGCGGUAAUACGUAGGGUGCAAGCGUUAAUCGGAAUUACUGGGCGUAAAGCGUGCGCAGGCGGUUCGGAAAGAAAGAUGUGAAAUCCCAGAGCUUAACUUUGGAACUGCAUUUUUAACUACCGAGCUAGAGUGUGUCAGAGGGAGGUGGAAUUCCGCGUGUAGCAGUGAAAUGCGUAGAUAUGCGGAGGAACACCGAUGGCGAAGGCAGCCUCCUGGGAUAAC
rnacentral:rRNA from 3 species